GCACAGGUGGCUGUCUCUGAGGUUUGUGUAGGGGGAUUGGCGGUUUCUGGAUCCUUCCUCCAUGAUUUUCAGCACAGGGGAGCUCUCCUUUCUGCAGUGUGGAGGAGCGCUGGGCAGGAGGCGGCGCUGAGGUAACUGGUCGCCACUGCCCAGUCAGCCCCCCAUGAGGUCCAGCCCGAGGUGGGCAGCACUUUGUGCUCGGGGCCUGUCCAGCAGGCUCCACAUAAUGGGCUCAAAACGUCUGGUCCAGUGGUUAAAAGCUGUUCACAGGGGUGACUGGACCCCACUAAGCAUUCUUUCGUCUGUAGUGAAUAUUUCACCAAAAACAGCUCUAGGAAAGGCUGGAGGAUCAGUACUAUGUGCUCAAGCCAUGGCCACGCCCUCUAUCUUCCACCUGACUGAGACGGGGGGGGGGCUGAAGGCCACAGCCACCCCAGGAGAAAAGACAUCAGGAAGGCCACCGGGGGCCUGAGGAACAUGCGCGUGAAGCAGAUGCGAAAGGAGCUGCAGGUUCAUUGUGGGCCUUGAGGGAAAAGCUGAGGGCCCAGCCGUGGUCCCGCAAGUGGAAGUAACCCGCUCUGCAGGGUGAACACGCACCCAGUGCCGCCCAGGGAGCUGCCAGUCAGGAUUGGGCGCAGUCUCUGGAAGGAACUCCAGGAGACAGUGUGGCCUCCACAGCAUUAGGCAGCCAAGGAGAUGCAAACAAGUCUGCUGUAGAUGCUGGCGAUGAGACCCCCUCUUCCCAGCCAGGGCCUGCUGGGUAAGAGUGGCAUUUCCGUGGGUGACUUUAUCCCUCAGGAUCGGGGCGUGCAGAUUUAUUGGCUGGCUUCCUUCUUACAGUUUCUUCUCAGAGCACACUCAAGAGAGGCCAUCUGUCCCUUGAGAGGCUGUUGACCAAAAGAGGCUGAAGAAGGAUGUGGAGCCCAGCUGCAGCGGGACCAGCCUGGGGCCUGAUGAGAGCUUGGCCCAGAGCCCCCAAGUUCAUCAUUCACAAUGAUGCCUCAGAAACCCUCCCAGAGCCCCUCCACCCUCCGACGGAUGUCACCCUGAAGCCAGCCGCAGAAGCUGUGCGGGGCGAGAACAGCGACACCAGCCCUCCGUCCCUCAGCGGGGUCAUCCUGUCAGCACUGGGGGCCCAAGAUCUCCUCGACUGCUGCACUCCUAUUGCUUCUGCUCCCGGGGGAACAGGAGCACGGGUGCCGCCUGCGGGAGCAGGUGGAGAAGAACGGCCAGCUGAAGAGGGGCAGCCGCCGACAGCCAGGUGCACAAGCUGCAGGAGGAGCUGGACGAGCUGAAGGGAGGGGGCUCCCUGCCUUAGCAGCCUGGUGCCCCCCGCCGAGGUCAGUCCCGGGGCUCGGGGCUCCCCCACUGCCUGCUCAUCAUGAGGGGUUUCCUGCUCCGCAGCAGACGGCCCCUGAGCACUUCUGUGUGCAGCAUGCCUGCUGCUGUCUUGGGAGAAGGCUCUGCUGGUAGCCGCCCCUCGUAGACAGGGAGCCCAGGUUGCAGAGCUCACUCCGCUCGCUUUAGGGCGCUCGAGAGGCAGUGGUAGUUGUCAGGGUUUAGCAGGUGGGGAAGGAGGCAUUGCAGGUC